UUUACCUGUGUGACUGCGUACCUUUUGUAUAAUGGGUCAGCGACUUAUAUUCUGUAGCAAGGUUAACCGAAUAGGGGAGCCGGAGGGAAACCGAGUCUUAAUUGGGCGUUAAGUUGCAGGGUAUAGACCCGAAACCCGGUGAUCUAGCCAUGGGCAGGUUGAAGGUUGGGUAACACUAACUGGAGGACCGAACCGACUAAUGUUGAAAAAUUAGCGGAUGACCUGUGGCUGGGGGUGAAAGGCCAAUCAAACCGGGAGAUAGCUGGUUCUCCCCGAAAGCUAUUUAGGUAGCGCCUCGUGAAUUCAUCUCCGGGGGUAGAGCACUGUUUCGGCUAGGGGGCCAUCCCGGCUUACCAACCCGAUGCAAACUGCGAAUACCGGAGAAUGUUAUCACGGGAGACACACGGCGGGUGCUAACGUCCGUCGUGAAGAGGGAAACAACCCAGACCGCCAGCUAAGGUCCCAAAGUCAUGGUUAAGUGGGAAACGAUGUGGGAAGGCCCAGACAGCCAGGAUGUUGGCUUAGAAGCAGCCAUCAUUUAAAGAAAGCGUAAUAGCUCACUGGUCGAGUCGGCCUGCGCGGAAGAUGUAACGGGGCUAAACCAUGCACCGAAGCUGCGGCAGCGACGCUGAUGCGUUGUUGGGUAGGGGAGCGUUCUGUAAGCCUGCGAAGGUGGCCUGUGAGGGUUGCUGGAGGUAUCAGAAGUGCGAAUGCUGACAUAAGUAACGAUAAAGCGGGUGAAAAGCCCGCUCGCCGGAAGACCAAGGGUUCCUGUCCAACGUUAAUCGGGGCAGGGUGAGUCGACCCCUAAGGCGAGGCCGAAAGGCGUAGUCGAUGGGAAACGGGUUAAUAUUCCCGUACUUGGUGUUACUGCGAAGGGGGGACGGAGAAGGCUAUGUUGGCCGGGCGACGGUUGUCCCGGUUUAAGCGUGUAGGUGUGUGUUCCAGGUAAAUCCGGUUCACUUUAACACUGAGGCGUGAUGACGAGGCACUACGGUGCUGAAGCAACAAAUGCCCUGCUUCCAGGAAAAGCCUCUAAGCAUCAGGUAACAUCAAAUCGUACCCCAAACCGACACAGGUGGUCAGGUAGAGAAUACCAAGGCGCUUGAGAGAACUCGGGUGAAGGAACUAGGCAAAAUGGUGCCGUAACUUCGGGAGAAGGCACGCUGACACGUAGGUGAAGUGAUUUACUCAUGGAGCUGAAGUCAGUCGAAGAUACCAGCUGGCUGCAACUGUUUAUUAAAAACACAGCACUGUGCAAACACGAAAGUGGACGUAUACGGUGUGACGCCUGCCCGGUGCCGGAAGGUUAAUUGAUGGGGUCAGCGCAAGCGAAGCUCCUGAUCGAAGCCCCGGUAAACGGCGGCCGUAACUAUAACGGUCCUAAGGUAGCGAAAUUCCUUGUCGGGUAAGUUCCGACCUGCACGAAUGGCGUAAUGAUGGCCAGGCUGUCUCCACCCGAGACUCAGUGAAAUUGAACUCGCUGUGAAGAUGCAGUGUACCCGCGGCAAGACGGAAAGACCCCGUGAACCUUUACUAUAGCUUGACACUGAACAUUGAGCCUUGAUGUGUAGGAUAGGUGGGAGGCUUUGAAGUGUGGACGCCAGUCUGCAUGGAGCCGACCUUGAAAUACCACCCUUUAAUGUUUGAUGUUCUAACGUGGACCCGUGAUCCGGGUUGCGGACAGUGUCUGGUGGGUAGUUUGACUGGGGCGGUCUCCUCCUAAAGAGUAACGGAGGAGCACGAAGGUUGGCUAAUCCUGGUCGGACAUCAGGAGGUUAGUGCAAUGGCAUAAGCCAGCUUGACUGCGAGCGUGACGGCGCGAGCAGGUGCGAAAGCAGGUCAUAGUGAUCCGGUGGUUCUGAAUGGAAGGGCCAUCGCUCAACGGAUAAAAGGUACUCCGGGGAUAACAGGCUGAUACCGCCCAAGAGUUCAUAUCGACGGCGGUGUUUGGCACCUCGAUGUCGGCUCAUCACAUCCUGGGGCUGAAGUAGGUCCCAAGGGUAUGGCUGUUCGCCAUUUAAAGUGGUACGCGAGCUGGGUUUAGAACGUCGUGAGACAGUUCGGUCCCUAUCUGCCGUGGGCGCUGGAGAACUGAGGGGGGCUGCUCCUAGUACGAGAGGACCGGAGUGGACGCAUCACUGGUGUUCGGGUUGUCAUGCCAAUGGCACUGCCCGGUAGCUAAAUGCGGAAGAGAUAAGUGCUGAAAGCAUCUAAGCACGAAACUUGCCCCGA
rnacentral:rRNA from 1 species